rnacentral:lncRNA from 1 species
AUACACAGAGGUCAGAGUAGUCGAACCCUGAAACAGGGGAGACUUUAACUAAUAAACUGUACUAAUUGGCCCAACCAAAAAUUCUAGAAAAAAAUUAGUAGAUAUAUAUAUGAGUCUAGUUUCAGGAAAAAUUUACGAAAUUGGAUUUUGAGUUUCGGAACUCGAGAUAUGAAUUUUUAAGAAACUAUGACGCAGUUGGAUAGCUUGUCCGAAUUUGUUU